CUAAGAGUGGAGCGUAAUUUCCGCCUGGUCUUAAAUGUUUUUAAUUAGGCCUAGAUCGCUUUCAGGAAGCAAAGAGACAAACAAACUGACAUCAGUUUUGUUAGAAAUACACACAUUACACUACUCACUGAAUUCCGCCCAAUUUAGUCGCUAAUUUAACUAAGAGUUUGAAGAGUUUUUCAUAAACCUUUCCUGUAAUGAAAUGCUACGGAUCAAAGAUAGUAAUCAAACAAUAGAGUCCUUAGACGUGGGUCGUGAGCAUAAAAUAGAGUGUUUAUUUGCAAGCAAUCCGUGGCGUUUGCCGUACAUUCCAACAUAUCUAUCAAAUCCCCUCAGUGACCAAUGACCCUAAUUGAUUUGUUUAGCAAAGCUUUGUUCUAAAAUUAAUUUAAGCGUGGGGUUUCGAGUACCAAUAACCAUACCCCGGAGACAGUUCACCGGAGACAUUGUCUCUUAAAUUGACAUGUCCACCGAGCCUCUUUACGUGGCCACUUCAAAAGAAGUCAUUAGGUUCUCGUUAUAAAUCUCUUGUUCGCUAGUUUCUCAUUACAUUUCCAAUUAGAACAACGAGUCGCUAAUCACAGAGCCUUCAUCUCAAACUUUGGCCGCACAAAUCAGAACAUCUGCUCAAAAUGGUUUCAAAAACUGUUUCUUACCUUUUGAUGUGUAUCGUGGCACUCACUGGAAUUACUAAAGUCCGUAGCCAUCCAAUGAUGGAGGCCAUGACUGAGAGCUGUUACUACGAAGGAAAGCCAUACUCUGUCGGUGAACUUGUUCCACAAGAGAACUGUAGCAUGCUUUGCUUUUGCAAUGGGUACGGGCGUCCCAACCCGUGCUUUCCCAUGUGUCAACGCCGCCGGAUACGACCCUGUGAAGUUGGUGAAGAGUUAUACAGUUAUAACGAAGAGAAUGAGUAUGGCUGCCCGUGUGAAAUGACUGCUUGUCGCGAAAUUAAUGACGACUGAAAGAUGGCACAAACCAACAGCUGAUGCGUAAAUGUAGAGUAGUGGCCAUACAAGUUUGUCCAACGUCGACAAUUGGUUAUGCAAGGGCUUAGCUGAGUUUAUGCAUUGAUGGAUUCGAGUGCCAGCCACAAGAAUUGGAGAGACCUUGUUUCAAAAUAUUGUACUUGAGUGCUUCCAAUAAAGAUGUCGAAAUCGAA
rnacentral:lncRNA from 1 species